rnacentral:rRNA from 1 species
UACGAAGGGUGCAAGCGUUACUCGGAAUUACUGGGCGUAAAGCGUGCGUAGGUGGUUCGUUAAGUCUGUCGUGAAAGCCCCGGGCUCAACCUGGGAAUGGCGAUGGAUACUGGCGGGCUAGAGUGCGGUAGAGGAGAGUGGAAUUCCCGGUGUAGCAGUGAAAUGCGUAGAGAUCGGGAGGAACAUCAGUUGCGAAGGCGGCUCACUGGCCCGAUACUGACGCUGAGGCACGAAAGCGUGGGGAGCAAACAGG